GAUGAACGCUGGCGGCGUGCCUAAUACAUGCAAGUCGAGCGAACGGGCGAGAAGCUUGCUUCUCUGAUGUUAGCGGCGGACGGGUGAGUAACACGUGGAUAACCUACCUAUAAGACUGGGAUAACUUCGGGAAACCGCAGCUAAUACCGGAUAAUAUUUUGAACCGCAUGGUUCAAAAGUGAAAGACGGUCUUGCUGUCACUUAUAGAUGGAUCCGCGCUGCAUUAGCUAGUUGGUAAGGUAACGGCUUACCAAGGCAACGAUGCAUAGCCGACCUGAGAGGGUGAUCGGCCACACUGGAACUGAGACACGGUCCAGACUCCUACGGGAGGCAGCAGUAGGGAAUCUUCCGCAAUGGGCGAAAGCCUGACGGAGCAACGCCGCGUGAGUGAUGAAGGUCUUCGGAUCGUAAAACUCUGUUAUUAGGGAAGAACAUAUGUGUAAGUAACUGUGCACAUCUUGACGGUACCUAAUCAGAAAGCCACGGCUAACUACGUG
rnacentral:rRNA from 1 species